GCCAGGCGUGGUGGCACGUGUCUGUAGUCCCAGCUACUCGGGAGGCUGAGGCUGGAGGAUCGCUUGAGUCCAGGAGUUCUGGGCUAUGCUAUGCCGAUCAGGUGUCCGAACUAAGUUCAGCAUCAAUAUGGUGACCUCCGGGGAGCGGGGGACCACCAGGUUGCCUAAGGAGGGCUGAACUGGCCCAGGUCGGAAAUGGAGCUGGUCAAAAUUCCCAUGCUGAUCAGUAGUGGGAUCGCGCCUGUGAAUAGCACUGCACUCCAGCCUGGGCAACAUAGCGAGACCACGUCUCUA
ensembl:misc_RNA Metazoa_SRP Metazoan signal recognition particle RNA